AACGAACGCUGGCGGCGUGGAUAAGACAUGCAAGUCGAACGCUGAUUCCGGGGUAGCAAUAUUCCGGGGUUGGAGUGGCGCAAGGGUGCGUAACACGUGGGUAAUUUGCCAUGAAAACUGGGAUAACUUGCUGAAAGGCGAGCUAAUACCGGACGUGAUGGGCGGAGGGCAACCUCUGCCUCUUAAAGUUGGGGACCGCAAGGCCUGACGUUUCAUGAUAAGCCCGCGGCCUAUCAGCUAGUUGGUGAGGUAAUGGCUCACCAAGGCUAAGACGGGUAGCUGGUCUGAGAGGACGACCAGCCACACUGGAACUGAGACACGGUCCAGACACCUACGGGUGGCAGCAGUCGAGAAUUUUUCUCAAUGGGCGAAAGCCUGAAGGAGCGACGCCGCGUGGGGGAUGAAGGGUUUCGAUCCGUAAACCCCUGUCAUUUGCGAACAAACCUUUCCGGAUAACACCUGGAGAGCUGAUUGUAGCGAAAGAGGAAGGGACGGCUAACUCUGUGCCAGCAGCCG
rnacentral:rRNA from 1 species